AAAUUCUUUCUGUGGUAGCAGGACAUCCGCCAGCAAAUGAGUUUGUUGAAAGGGCCACUGGUACCAAAUUCAGCACCGUGGGCCAACCCUGACCACAGCAGAGUGGUGUGAAGAGGUCUGACAGCCGCGUGGUCACCACCCAGGCUGGAGAGGAAGGCAGCAUGAGGUGUUAAUGGAAAAAUCCAACUUCCUUCUCUUCCAAAGAUGAUGAGCAAAACCAAAAUGGAGAUUUCCCUGGGAACCCUCAACGACCUGAGAGAAACCACCUCUGCUGAAUCCCAAUCUGAGAACUUUGAAAAUGAGAGCUAUUUGCCUGCAGCAAAUGAAGGAUUGAAUUGUCCCAAAGACAAGGAUGUUUUAUAAAAAGCAGACCUCGUGGAAAGUGAUGGGAGAUGUAAGCACUUUUAAGAUCUCUCCUGAUUUCCAUUUAGGCCUAAUGUUUUUGUUUUAUUAAGCCUGGAUAUAUGGGUUUAAAUUAUUUUCAUGACUAAAUUAAUAGCUGGUUAAAUACUUUAAGUUAACUCUCUUCAGAGAUUAUUUGCUCUAACCUAACCUAAACAUAUGGUAACUCAUCAUAGCAUUGUGUUCUUUUAUUUUUGUUUUGUUUUUUUUUUUUGACUAGGGAUAGUUUUUUUUUUUUUUUUUUCUUAAAUGAAGAAAGAAAGUAAGAGGCUUGAGCGUCUCUAGAAAAGAACAGUGUAAAUGAGAACUCCCUUUGCCAGGAUGUUUGUGACGGUGUGAAUUUAACUGUUAGAUUCUCUAUCAAUGUCAACAUCUGAGAACAUUUUUGCUCUCUGGGAACCUUGAUAGGACGGCACCGCAUCUGUGAUCCACUUUACCCAGAGAGGAGUGAAGUGUAGCUACCAAGAAUCAAACUAAAGAAAAUCAGGAUUUUGAUGUUGCUGGAAUAUGUAGAAAAAGGUGGAGUCUAAAAAACUAUUUCUCCCGCCAAGACAGUAUUGAGGAAUCUUGUUAUUUUC
rnacentral:lncRNA from 1 species